rnacentral:rRNA from 1 species
CUUCUCGCGGGUUCAACGCAUCCAUCUCUCUUCGACGGCUCUGCUCCCGUUCGGACUCGUCCGGUGCGUGGUAGUGGAGUUGCAGAGAGUGGUGUGAAGGCCCGCGGCAGACCGCACUUCUCCCUUAGUAGGACGUCGUGACCCGCCCGGCCAUGGUCUUACGGUUGUGGGGAGGAGCCUGUCCUUCGACGUGCUUGCACGUAUUUGGGCAGACCCCUGCGCCCCGGCCAUGGUUUCACAACUGGACGGUAUCAAGUGACGGUGUUCAGCCACUCUUCGGCGGAGGAAACUCCUGCCAGUGAGCGCGAUUUGACUCAUGACAAGGUGCGGAGAUGUUUCAGUCAAGGCGGGCUUCCGUCCGUCUGGCUGCUCUCUGCCCUGUUGGUUGUGGGACCUCUCGUUUGGCCUAUUUAGCACCCGUCUACGGCGAACCAGUUUUGGGUUCUUGUCCGACCCGUCUUGAAACACGGACCAAGGAGUUCAGCGUGUACGCGAGUCAUUGGGUGAUCAAACCUAAAGGCGUAAUGAAAGUGAAGGAAACUUCUUGUCUCUGAGGGAGGAUGAGCAGGUUACUCGCAAGAGGCCUCUCCGCACUCCCGGGGCGUCUCUUUCUCAUUGCGAGUGGAGGCGCACCCAGAGCGUACACGCUGAUACCCGAAAGAUGGUGAACUAUGCCUGGCCAGGACGAAGCCAGGGGAAACCCUGGUGGAGGUCCGCAGC